AAGUGCUUCAGGUAAUGCUGUAUCCAUAAACUGUUACAGUAUAACAAAGAGCUCUGCAUUGAAGGAGAAGGACGUUAAUACUUCCCAGACUAAAUCUGUUGCAUCUUUGCCCACGUCGAAGGAUAAGCAGAUAAAAACCAAUUACCUCUUUGAGAAGACAUCCAAACAGCACGAAAUACAACAAACUUGUCGAAACUGGGUAUCGUUAAAUUCUUUUGAAUGUUCCCAGCAAGUUUCAAAUGAUUUACUUCCUAGAAAGGAAGAGAAUGUAAGCAAGAAACCAGGUGAUUCUGCUUCCCAGAAAGUAGACCAAAAUUGUUCAGAUGACGCCAUUAUUACAAUAGAAGAUGACUGGGAUGACAUAGAUGACUUUGAUAUAUCUGGAAAACAAAAGAACUCAAGACCAUUGGUUUUAUCCCCCAAAAAUCUGAUUGUAAAACCCAGCAAGACUCUUCAAAUAUCCAAUUCCUGUACAGUUAGAUUAUCUAAGGCAUCCAGGACUGUGAACAGUGAGCAAAAACUGCCAAAAUGUUGUCCUUCUGAGAACAAUGAAAAAUCACUGAAUGACAAACAGCCAGCUCUGUCAAACAGGUCUUUGAUUUGUCUUGAUGUUUCAGAUCCCAAUGAUUGUAAAAGACUUUUAGGUGAAGAUCUUCAAGAGAAGAAGUUGUCUACAGAAACUAUUCUGAGUGACAAAAAAGAAGAAACUCAUACAGCUCUCAGUAAAAACCAGUAUAAUGGCAUACAAAAGCUAAAUGAGGGUGAGAAGAAUAGCCAUUCAUCGAAGGAACUGGCUAAAGGAUGGGAUGAGACUCUUGAUUACACUGGAAUUGAGGAGGAUGAUUACCUAGAUUUCAUUCCACCCUCUCCAGAGGAAGAAGUGCUCUCUUCCUCAUCUUCUAUAAAAAACAUUAGAAUCUGCUGUAGAUGGAAAACUAAUGAUUGAUAACAGUCUGUCAAAACCUGGAAAAAUCACCACAAAGCAGCCUACCAGUGGAACCAGUAUAGAGUAUGCAGG
rnacentral:lncRNA from 1 species